AUUGAACGCUGGCGGCAUGCCUUACACAUGCAAGUCGAACGGCAGCAUGAUCUAGCUUGCUAGAUUGAUGGCGAGUGGCGAACGGGUGAGUAAUACAUCGGAACGUGCCCUGUAGUGGGGGAUAACUAGUCGAAAGAUUAGCUAAUACCGCAUGCGACCUGAGGGUGAAAGUGGGGGACCGCAAGGCCUCAUGCUAUAGGAGCGGCCGAUGUCUGAUUAGCUAGUUGGUGAGGUAAAGGCUCACCAAGGCGACGAUCAGUAGCUGGUCUGAGAGGACGUUCAGCCACACUGGGACUGAGACACGGCCCAGACUCCUACGGGAGGCAGCAGUGGGGAAUUUUGGACAAUGGGCGAAAGCCUGAUCCAGCAAUGCCGCGUGUGUGAAGAAGGCCUUCGGGUUGUAAAGCACUUUUGUCCGGAAAGAAAUGGCUCUGGUUAAUACCUGGGGUCGAUGACGGUACCGGAAGAAUAAGGACCGGCUAACUACGUG
rnacentral:rRNA from 1 species